UACGUAGGGGGCAAGCGUUGUCCGGAUUUACUGGGCGUAAAGCGCGCGUAGGUGGAAGGGCCAGUCCGGCCUGAAAGCCCCCGGCUCAACCGGGGAGAGUCGCUGGAAACUGCCUUUCUUGAGGGCGAGAGAGGAGGGUGGAAUUCCUGGUGUAGCGGUGAAAUGCGUAGAGAUCAGGAGGAACACCCGUGGCGAAGGCGGCCCUCUGGCUCGACCCUGACGCUGAGGCGCGAAAGCGUGGGGAGCGAACGGG
rnacentral:rRNA from 1 species